ACGCUUCCGGGUUUUAUUGUAAACAGCGAACCUGGAGAAUUAGUCUCAAAGUUAUCCGCAACGAGUGCACAUACAAACGGGUGUCAUGAAUCACAACAAGGAAGGGUCCAUUAUUGGGUUGAUGCCCUACCAAUACGUCCACGUAUUGGAUCUGACAACGAACAUCACACGGCUAGAGGUCGGGCCACAGACCCUCGUCCUGAAGAGUAAUGAACGUCUUGAGGCUGGACCUUUACCUAUGAUCGUUGUCCCUCCUGGUCACUACAUCAGUGUCACAGACCCCAUCAGCCACUAUGAGGCAGGCAAGGCAUGUGAGCUCAAACUUGGACACAAGGAAGUAAGACUUCAUCAGGACCCAUUCCCUCUCUACCCAGGAGAAUCACUCACGCUGGCCCCAGAAUACGUCCAGCAGAGAGGUCAGUACCAGAAGGCUGUCCGUCCCCUCCCUGUUAUCAAUGCCAACCAUGCAAUCCGCCUCCGUGCCCUCUUUGACCUGGAGGACUCUGGGGUGAAGAGGAAGGAAGAGGAGAUGUGGCAGCUGCCUGGACCACUGACCUACAUCCCUAGAGCUGAUGUGGAGGUUGUGAAGAUUGUGCAGCCGUUCAUCAUCAGGAAUGGAGAUUCCCUCAAUCUACGGGCCAUUCAGGACUGUUAUGAUAACGAAGGAAACGAUCGUGUGACUGGCGAGGAAUGGCUUGUGUCAACACCAGGGGCUUAUGUUCCAGGAGUGUUUGAAGAGGUACUCGAUGUGAAAUCGAAGAUAACCUUGACCCAUGAUGCUGGCCUGCACCUUCGAGCCACUCGGACAUUAACUGAUGCGUAUGGUGACAGCAGGUUGGCUGGAGAAGAAUGGCUGCUGACUGGAGAAGAAACUGAUAGUUAUUUUCCUGAAGUUGGAGUGGAGGUUGUCAAGCAGGUGAAGAAGGAGGUGGUCAGCAAGGGUCAGUACUGUGUUGUCCUGGACCCAGUAGACGAGGACAAGAGGCCAUGCCUUGGGAAGCGGGUGCUGAAGAAAGGGUUGUGUACAUUUUUCCUACACCCAGGCGAGAGGCUUGAGGAUGGCAUACAGAACACCCACGUCUUGUCAGCUGACGAGAGCCUUGUCCUCCAGGCCAAGGGAGCCUUCACUGACGAUAUGUUUAAAGGAAAGCCAAAAAGAAAGCCAGGUGAUUUAUGGCUGAUCCGAGGACCACUGGAGUACAUCCCACCCAUUGAAGUAGAGAUUGUGAAGAGAAGAGAAACUAUGCCACUUAGCAAGAAUGAAGGUAUCUAUGUUCAGAACAGACAGACUGGAAAGAUAAGAAGUGUGAUGGGUCCAUGCUCGUACAUGCUGAAUGCCCAUGAAGAACUGUGGGAGAAACCAUUAACUCCAGAGGUUGAGGAGAUACUCAGGAAUGGCGGUGGAAUCGGAGAUGGGAACAUCCGAAAACUGGCGUACUACGAGCAGUCCAUCAACCCAAGCAUUCUCAUGGGUAGAAACAGAACCAAAAUAGUUACAUACCGUUGCCCUGGCAACACAGCUGUCCAGGUGUACAACUACAUGCAGAAGACAGCGAGGGUGGUACUCGGACCCGACCUCAUCAUCCUGGGGCCACACGAAAACUUCAAUGUGCUCAGUCUCAGUGCUGGAAAACCUAAGAAAGCCAAUGCUUUGAAGUCACUAUGCAUGAUGUUGGGGCCAGACUUUAUUACAGAUAUUCUUGAGGUUGAAACUGCAGAUCAUGCAAGACUACGAAUCCAAAUAGCAUUCAACAAUCAUUUCGAGUACGAUCGAAAAGAUGACGAAAGUCUGAAGCAAAUGUUUGCUGUACCAGACUUCAUUGGCUUUGCCUGUCGACAAGUUGGAAGCCGGAUCAGAGGUGCUGUUGCCCUGGUUCCCUUUGAUGAGUUCCACAGACACUCCCUGCAGAUCAUACGAACGGCCGUUUUCGGUAUCAACCCUGUCAACAAGCAGCUCAGGACACACAUCAGAUUCAGUGAAAACAACUUGGUAAUUACCAGUAUCGACGUUCAGAGCAUCGAGCCAUCAGACGUGAAGAUGAGGGACAGCCUCAGCAAGUCAAUACAGAUGGCCAUAGAGAUUGCUACAAAGUCCAUAGAGAAUGCAGCAGCCCAUGAGGCUGACAAGAUUGAGCAGGCUGCACGCGGUCAGCUGGAGAGACAGAAGCUGGCCAAUGAGAAGGAUGCAGAGAAGGAGAGGGCCAACUUGCUGCAUCUGUGUGCUAUAGCUGCAGCUGUUGAGUCAACUGGGCAAGCCAAAGCUGAAGCACAGGCCCAGGCUGAGAGGAUGCUUAUAGAGUGCCAGGAGUGAGAUUGAAGCUGCAAAACUGAAGGCAGAGGCAGAGGCAAUAGAACAUCAAGCUAGACUGGAGACACAGGGCAUGGCGAAGAGGGGCGAGAUCAACUACCUGCGAGGUCAAAACGAGCUCUACCUGGACAAA
rnacentral:misc_RNA from 1 species